AGAUUGAACGCUGGCGGCAGGCCUAACACAUGCAAGUCGAGCGGCAGCACGGGUACUUGUACCUGGUGGCGAGCGGCGGACGGGUGAGUAAUGCCUAGGAAUCUGCCUGAUAGUGGGGGAUAACGCUCGGAAACGGACGCUAAUACCGCAUACGUCCUACGGGAGAAAGCAGGGGACCUUCGGGCCUUGCGCUAUCAGAUGAGCCUAGGUCGGAUUAGCUAGGUUGGUGGGGUAAUGGCUCACCAAGGGCGACGAUCCGUAACUGGUCUGAGAGGAUGAUCAGUCACACUGGAACUGAGACACGGUCCA
rnacentral:rRNA from 1 species